rnacentral:tRNA from 1 species
AGGAUAAUAGUUAAAUUAACAUUUAAUUUGCAUUUAAAAAAUACUGAUUCAGUUUAUCUU